rnacentral:rRNA from 1 species
AAGUCGAGCGAUUUACUUCGGUAAAGAGCGGCGGACGGGUGAGUAACGCGUGGGUAACCUGCCCUGUACACACGGAUAACAUACCGAAAGGUAUGCUAAUACGAGAUAAAAUAUUUUUAUCGCAUGGUAGAAGUAUCAAAGCUUUUGCGGUACAGGAUGGACCCGCGUCUGAUUAGCUAGUUGGUAAGGUAACGGCUUACCAAGGCGACGAUCAGUAGCCGACCUGAGAGGGUGAUCGGCCACAUUGGAACUGAGACACGGUCCAAACUCCUACGGGAGGCAGCAGUGGGGAAUAUUGCACAAUGGGCGAAAGCCUGAUGCAGCAACGCCGCGUGAGCGAUGAAGGCCUUCGGGUCGUAAAGCUCUGUCCUCAAGGAAGAUAAUGACGGUACUUGAGGAGGAAGCCCCGGCUAACUACGUGCCAGCAGCCGCGGUAAUACGUAGGGGGCUAGCGUUAUCCGGAAUUACUGGGCGUAAAGGGUGCGUAGGUGGUUUCUUAAGUCAGAGGUGAAAGGCUACGGCUCAACCGUAGUAAGCCUUUGAAACUGGGGAACUUGAGUGCAGGAGAGGAGAGUGGAAUUCCUAGUGUAGCGGUGAAAUGCGUAGAUAUUAGGAGGAACACCAGUUGCGAAGGCGGCUCUCUGGACUG